GGCACAUUACCAUGGAAUCAAGACAUCCAUCCUUGUAUGUAUAUUUCAGUGUGCUUUGAUGCUGCACAACUGGGCGGACUCUCACGGAACAGAAUCCUAGCAGCUUUCCAAAGGGAAGAAGAGAAAAUCCCUGUUGUCUUUGUACUAAAAUCUAUUGACCGGUCCAAUUCUCAACUCUAGUGUCAACAACCAAUGAAUGUUGCUCCCAGUAGUAUUCCUGAGGCACAAGAAAACAGAAACAUGUAGUUCCAUUCAUUCAAAAGUACGAAUGCCUUCUGGGAAGGGCAGCAGCUUUGCGUAACAAAAGUGACACUUCCAUUGAUAUUUUCUUUAGAAAACAAAAAAGAAAGUAUACAUAUAAUGCCUUCACUACUGUUAGUACCCCAGCAGAUUGAUUUGUCGAACGAGGGAAAGUAGUAGGGCAAGCAAUGAUGAAAGCAGCAAAGCUGCAGCUCAAUAUCCAAGUUGGAGUGCACAUAACAGCGCAUGAUUUGGCAUACAAUAAUCACGGUGUUUCUCCUGAGGGCUCUCAGUGACCAUAAACAACUUUCUUUCUCAGAGAAAAAAAAAUUCAAUUUUUUAACUUAAAUUGAAGCAAUUUAUUAACUGAAACAUAAUGUAGUGUGUAGGCCUAUGGCAGCCAGAUAAAAUGAUAGAUAUGUUCAAUGCUGUCUUAUUUGAGACAGUUAAGAUGUAUUACCUAUAAGUACUCUAUAGUGGAAGGAGAGGGGUUCUUUCAUCAUGUUCCACUCGAUGGCUAGCCUGUAAAAUUGAUAAGAGAGAAAUCACAUGUGCAUGUAAUAAGUGAAUCCAUAUAUAUACGUAAAUUCUAAGCAUGCAGUAGUGGAGUCUUACCUCGUCAUGAGCCCCAGCUGCCAUGUCCACAAAGGAUGCAUCCUUAGACCUGGAAACAUUACGUGUCAAACCAUUUUCUAAAAUAGUAAAGAAACAACAGAAACAUACAGCCAUGUCAUCAGCGCAUAAAGCAUGUCUACCAAAAGGAGCAACCGGUUAAGAAAAGAUGACAUGGACAUUCUGAAAUGUCAGUUUCCUAUCCAGUGUGAUUCUGCCAUUGACUUAGCUGUUUUUAUUUUCAAGAAAGUUAUGGUUAGACUCGAGUUAUUAUAAUCUUGUAAUACAUUCUGGCAUAUCCUUUAUUUCAGAUCCAUCUAACUUUACAGGUAAAAGGUCAAUCCAAUUAUCUCAUGGUAAUCUAAAGACCUGUGUGCAACAUGGAACUUCAGCAUUUUCAUUUUUGCAUUUCCUCCCAUAUCUACCGAGAAGUUUAGCAGCACAAAGCACAAAACUUGUCAAAAUCUUCUUAGACAAUCACUGAGGCAAAUGUCCAAUCCACCAACACCACAUAUAUACUCAUGAAAGGUGUAUCUAUGGAAGCCGAUAACUGAAAUCAAGCCUGCAAAAAAGUGUAACUUUUCAAAAGUUACUUGUUCUACAGAAUGAAUCGGAAUGGAUGAAGAACAAUACUGUUAGCCUUACUGAUGUCUCAUAGAUAUAAAGGUUUCUUACAAAGGCGAAUGUCUCGCUUUCAUCAUGAGGACCACUAUUGCUUUUGUGCCCUACUUUCGCUCACAAUCAACUGGAUAGCUAUUGACUUUUUCAAUCCGGUACCCUAUCUAUUCCCAGGCUUGCUUAGCCUAAAAAUCCAGCCCCAAGCACUAAUUUAUGUAGAAAGACUACUAAUGACAUUACACCGAAACAGUAAAGAACUGCCUUUGUUUAAAGAGGAGUGUAGGCCACAGAAACCUAGUUUUUACCACAGUUCCUUGUGUAUCUAACCAAGAGAUAACAUGUAAUAGCAUUUUCCAGAGCUUAAGAGUUUAUUAAACAAGAAUACUCAUCAUAUGCUUCCCAAGGCGAAAAAUAAUGAUAAUCUCAUACCUAAAGUUAUGUUGAGUUUUCAUCAUUUCCAUACCACCAUUCUGUACUUCAUCCUUGACCUUUGAAAGGGGUGAAAAAAACUGGAAAUAGAAUAAUAAUGUAAGACGAAUUUACAAGAGAGACAUUAGAUCAUAUAUUCUUCAACCUCAAGCAGUUCAACAUAAUAAAGUAGAAUAGAUGAUAAAAGGGAUUUAGAUUAUCAAACAUGAAAAUAAGAGGAAAAAAAAAAGUAAGAAAUCCAUUGAGAGAAUAUAAAGCUAAUUGUAUUGCCUUCUGCUGAGUUACCUGAUGCAUGGAGAUAAAUACAAUGGAGAUUCCUAAGAUGAAGUUUAUUGUCAAAGUAUGACCAAACAAUGCUGCAGAUGCAAUCCCAGUAAAAAUUGUUGCAACAGUUGACGAAUACUUCUUCAAAAUUGUAUCUACACAAUUAAAGACAAUCCAAAUCAAGGCCUUGCACGUGGUGAACACAAGAAUGGUAUACAGCUGUUUAUGGCAGCACUAUAGUCAGUAACAUAACAUUUCCUAUUUUGAGCAAUGAUGUAUUUUACUGCGUACUUAGACAUAAGUCAGCAUCAUGUAACAACCAGUUGAAAUCUGCCAUAUGCCUAAUUAAAAUAACCCAUUGCCAACAGAUUGGUUUCAGACACAUCCGAAUUUGGAUUUCAGAUAUCUGCCAAGUAUGUACCAAGAAAAUUGAAGCAGUAUUCAGGUUCCGACGAUCCCGACUUGUGCUCCUGAAAGUUUCCUCACUUUGACUUCCUUAGGAGAGAAGAUUUUCCUAACAUAGUGACUGAGAUUAACUUCGUCCAAUUUUCAACUUGAUUAAAAACAGCUUCACCUACCAUCUCAGGCAGUGUAAAUUAUCUAAACCAUAUAUUUCGUCCCUACCAAAAUUUCUCAUUAGCAAAUACAUUUCAACAAGCACUCAAGUUUCAGGUGAAACCAACAAAAGAAACACAACCAAAAACGAAAUAAACAGGAAGUUUUUGUUAAACUCAGCACAACAAAUUUCAUGUUAAAAUGAAUAAUAAAAGAAGGAAAGAUCAAAGCCAAAACAUACAAUGAAAACAGUUCGAAUUUCUUUCAGUAUGGAUGAUAAAAUAAGUGUCGUAGGAUGAACUAUGAUAUGUGGAUAAUGAGACAGACAGGUACAGUUUGUUAAUGUAUGUAAAGGGGAAAAAUGUAUGUACAGGAGCAAAGGAGCACAUGCAUAACUGUGAAAGCAGCUAGUACAAAAUGUACAUCAAUUUUAGAUUUUGCAUAUCAUGAUGAGACAAACUUUAAAACAUGCACAGCAGGACACUUGAUGCCCAGGAACAAAUGCGAGAAACACUUGGAAAGAUAAAUCAACAAACAUAAAUGAGGUCAUCAUAUUUUGGGUUUAAAGCAGUUUGGGUGACAUCCCCUGAACAACGUAUCUUAAAGCAACAAAGAAAAGGAUCUAGAUAAACUCUACAACCCUUCGAGGAUUAAUCCCUUUAUAACUGGUCAUUCAUGUUUAACUAAUCUACUACAUUAAGUUCCAUCAGUGACCCAAACAUGGGCUGUUCCAUUCUUACCUAUUCUUUCAAAAUGCACAAAAGAUAAAGAGGUCCACAAAACACAAGAAGGCAAAAGAAUUUGUUGGAAAAGACAGCGCAAGAAACGGAGCACAAAAUUGUCUGUAAGUUCUACCAAUCCACAAACCUAUUUGCAUAUUAACUACUAGACAGGACCUUUAAUACGGAACUUGAUUAAUAUUUAAGAAAUGAUAGAUACCUGCAUAUUUGAAGAAAAAUGAGGAUAAGAUCCCUUGAGCUGCAUUGUUGCAUAUUAAAAAAAUAGUUGCCUUUGAAUGUCCCCGCAAGAUAUCCAAGUUAUCAGGUCCUAAAGUACAGUUAAGUAGAAGGAUUAGUCAGAAGCACAGUAAGGAGAAAAGAAAAACUUUUCCAAUCAUUUUCAAGAAAUAAUACAUAUUUGCUAUGACAAAUAUAGAAUGACUAUUAAAAGCAAAAAAACCACGUGAGCGUUCAGAUUCAUAAAACACAACCACAUAUUCAACUCAAAUAGUCAUUUUUUAAAGCCUGGAAAGUUUGAUAGAACUUCAUGACAGCCUGUAAUAAGUAUGAACCGACAUCUGGCAGUGGUUGCCACCUAUAUCCUCUCCUCUCAAACUUUACUAUGCUUUAAGAUUCCAUGUUUUGACCAUACCUAUAAGCAUACAGCCUCUGAUCUGACAUCAUGCAAACAUUUGGUAGGAAGUACUAAACAAUGAAAAAAGGCAUGAUUUCCGGUGACCAUUCAAUCCAACGAUACAUGUUAUAUUGACCACUGAGAAUGUCUCUGGAAACACAACUUGCAAAAAGUAGAUAAUGCACUUCAUAGACUCCUCGGAGUGAAUAUACUCUAGUUUAUUCAGACAAACUCAGACGUCCUGUAGUUUCUCAUCCUGCUCCAUGGAUAACUGCUAAACUAUCCAUUUUUAGAAAAAUUCUGUCAUCUCGGUCUACCACUCUCAACCAGUGUAGCGUGAAAGUGGGAUGAAGGUCCCAGUAUUUCAGUGCCAAGGUUCUGCACAUUUGUUUUUAUCUAUGUCGGAUGUAUGGGUAUAAAACUAGGAGCAAAUUGAGUACAGUAAAUUCUUCAAAGCAAAAUAAAUGACUCACCAGUCCAAAAUACUGUAAUUAGCAUUUAAAGCAAAACAAUUAAUUUGUAAUCAUAUCAAGAUAACUGGUUACAAAACUUGACAACUCAGCCUCGAACAAUUGAUCUUUACAGGAUAGAACUGCUGCAUCCUAGGAAAAUAUGAUGUUUUAAUACCUUUGAAAAUGGCAGCCCCAAGUAUUCCAAGAAAGUUGAAUAUUGCACCAUAACCAUACAGAAAUAGAUUCUGCAAACAAUCAUAAAAUAUUUAUUGAGGAAUUGGAACAUGAUAACAAUAACAAGGUCCAUACAGUAGACCCAUACAACAGAAACAAAUAUCUGAAUACCAAGUAAAACAGUGUAAAUCUCAUCAUUAUCCAGGAGUAAGACAAAUCAACUGGGCUGAAAAUCAAAAUAGAAAGAUAAAUCUAGGAAUGUGCUCAAAGCCAAAGGAAGAAGACCAACUAUUAAUUAGCUUAACCACAACUACAGUUAAAGUACUUCUGCAUUUCAUUUCACUACUGGUAAGCAGAUAUUCUCAUGCAAAUCCAUGCUUUACCUUACAAACAAUCAUCCAAUUUGGUUGAUGUCCUCUCUGUGCCUCUCUGUCUUUGUCCACAUUUAUAAACAUACAUAUGCUUGCAUACGUACAUAGAGACAUGUAAAUGCACAUAUACAUACAUAUAUGCACACAUAAAUAUCAGGCCUUCUGUGAAUUAAUUUCUGUUUGGGGACUGCUAGGGGCUGAAGUGGGCAAGGUCUUAGGGCAGGCAAUUUCAUGUACUAAGAAUCCAAGGAAGAAGUCAGACUUUGGAUUAAUUAACUGCAAACAGUUAAAACUCACCUGAAGAUAAAUGCUAGUCUCAAAUUGGCUCUUCAAAGCAUACUCAUUGUAGACUGAAGCCAAUGAAGGAACAGUUACCUGAAAUAUAGAUUAUAGUGUUGGCAACUAACUUCAUGGUGCCUUACCCCAAAAUAAAUAAAUAAAUUUAUACACAAUACAUAAAAGGCGUCUAGUACCUAACAUUGCUAUGUAGUUCUAUCUAGUAAAUACAGUCCGUUCUUAACAUGGCAGUCACUUAUAGCAGUAAAGCUGUGAGUGUAAAAUAAGAAUGAGUGCAAGUAUUAUUUAGCGAGUAGUCUGAUAACAUUUCACCACUUAAUGAGCUUUAUACACCAAAAUGGGAGGAUCGAAGCAACUUCAAGUCACCCAGAAACUGAGCACAAUAAAAGCAGACAAGGAAAAAGCAAUUCAAGGAAUCAAAUAGCAAAUUAUUUCCAAAGGACUUACAAAAAUUAAUGUGUAUAAAUAAGCAGCUGUUGCCACUGGAAGACCCAUAGCACUAGAACCCUCUGGUAGAGAGCGCAGCUGAUUGACUGAAAUUCCAAUAAGCAACAGUGCAAGAGCCUCCCACUGAAGCAAACGAAAAGGCACAAUCACAUACAGAGAACAGAUUUUAUAAUCAACCAUCCAGACAUUAAAGGCUCAUAACAACUCCCCGAAGAAAAGGAGGGAAAAGGAGGGAAAAGAAGAAUAAGAAGAAGAAACAGUAGAACAGAUAUGCAUGUUUGCUUAAUGAAAUUUCAAUUGAUAGAAUGCCCACUAAAUUAUUUAAAAAUACAAAUUACAAACCUGAAUUAUGGAAAAGCGACGUCUCAUUAUUAUCUUUAACAAAACUGCGAUAACCAAAACCUGCAAAGGUACAAUACAAAUUUUAAAGACAAUAAAACAAAAUCUAGAAAAAAUUAUGGAAGCCAUAAGUCAAUAAUGCUGGCAUAGAAUUAGUCAUGGAACAGCCAUUUCUUUUAAGAAACCCAGGCAUAUUCUUUAGCAUGUAUUCAUUCUUCCGUGAAAGGGCCUUCAGAAAAUGUCUCGAAGAGUUCCAUGAACUAUUUGACAACUUAGUUAACAGUAAUAGUGUCAAGACGCAACUGGAGGGUAAAUUUUUGGUAAUAUUCUUCAGGCACCACCAAUCAGAAAGACAUAAUGACCAUAUUCUUAAAGCUCCACAAAUAUGCAGGAUUAGUGCGGAACAGAAAUCAUUGGCUUGAGAUUUCCAGUAGAGAUGAAUUGGUCAAUAUCUGAAUCUUUCUCAACUGGUUUCAAGAAGCCCUUGAAAAAAGAAGCUCCGAUUCCCAAAGUAGGACAUGAUAAACAGAAUGAAAUUUUUGCACAGGAGGAUACUUGGAGGUGCAAAUGAAGCAAAAUAGGAUUUUCCAGCAUUUUUUGGGCUUCAAGGCAUGAUUUUGGCUCAUUAAGAGGUUAAAAAUGUCAACCCAAAGAGCACAAGUUGAUCAUUUGAUAAUUUUGCUUGAUGCAAGAGUGCUGUCAAAGCAUCAAAAUCGCUCCAUAGGAACCAAAGAGCAGAAAAUUAUGUGCCUUAGUUGAGUCGCAGCCUAUAUCCACUUCAAUAGAUUCAACAUGGACUUUUUUUCCAACUACAGUACCAUCUGCUGGCGUGCACACCAUCUUACAUCAGGAGUUACUUCUUGAACCUAAAUUAUGCAAUUCAGAACAUACACCUAAUGCAGGCCGGAAAUUGUAAUGCAGAGAAAUGGAGUCAAGCAUCAGAAGCAGGACAAGAAUGGAUGAAAACGGAACAUUGCUACAUGAAAUAUAGAAGUCCAGCUUUUACCACUAAAACUUAACCAGUAAAUACCUUCAGGUUACUCAGCAUCUUAACUGUUGCAGGAGUGAAAUAUAGCUGCAAGCAGAAAACCAUGCAUUAGGACUGUCUGAUUGUCACAGAUUCAACAUGAUGACAUCAAACAUUUCAAACUCUGAUAAGUGUACAGAUACAUAAAUGUGUGUGCGUGUAGGCCCAAUUUAUGGCAAGUCACGUGACAUUCAAGUGCUUCUCUUUCACAAAAAUGGCAGAGCCACGCUCAUCCAUCUUGUAUACACAAAGCACCUUCCCUGGCCCAACCCACAUUUACAUAAUAAAAGUGCUCCAAAACACCUUAAAACACUCAUAAGUGCUGUAGCCUAUGAAGUCACAACUCACAGCCAUACACAUAUAUGGUUGGGCUGUCUGGUGGGCGUUUUAACACAUUCAUCACCCAAAUUCAAGUUCCAAGCGCACACCCCCACCCAAAAAAAAAACCCCCCAUCCAGUCAACCAACCUGCUAGAGGGCUACAAUACAUCUAAAAUGAACAAAAGAUUACUAAGCCAUAAAAAUAAAACUCCAACAGUGGAAUAACACUACUAAGUCAAAAUUCAAGAAUAACACUGCAACAAUUGAAAACAGUACUAAUCCAUAAGCAAUGAAAAAUGACCUUCCCAACUAAAUGCAGAUAAGAAAACGAAAGUGAAAGUUGAGGUUUUACCUGCAUGGUAAACUUCAGAUAGUUGUUUAUAGCAUAAAGCAGAGCAGGAACAGCCAGAAGCAUAUUAUUACGAGCAGCC
rnacentral:lncRNA from 1 species